AACCAUCCUGGGGAGAUUUAGGCCAGGUAAACCUAAUUCUUAGCUCUUUGUCCAACUUAGGCAAGAAGUAGCCACUAAACUCAGUCUUGUCAAGACUGAGGCAGUUCUGGGCAUAGGAAGAGGUGAGUCCCUAGGCACCUGGGGCACUUUCAAGGCAAACAGGGAGGCACUUCUGGAAUUUAGGUGCCCUUAGGGCUAGGUGUCAAAUGAAUGUGGGAUUCCAGGACCAUUGUUUGGAUCUUGCAUGUUUUAUGUGGGACAGUCAGGAUUCUGGCCCCUGUGUGCUUUAUUGCUCUUUUAUCUGUCUCUCCAAAGUAUGGGAAUUCAAACACACUCUUUGUAUACUCUGACAGUGAGUCACUUGGACCUCAAAUGUUAGCUUUUGGGUACUGCUUCUGGAGGAAUUUUCAAACUUCUGUUUUAUGGAAGAAGCACAGGUCUCCUCAAGUCUGCUCAACCAUCUGAUGUGCUGAGAACUUGAGGGUCAACAAUUGCUGCCCAUCAUCACAAAGUGGAUGCUGCCAAGUCUGCAGGUUUCCACCAACGACAGUGCAUUACCUAUCACCAGGUCUCACUCCUUGGAGAUACUUAAUGCCCAGCUGGACAUGGUCCUGAACAACCUGCUCUAGCUGAGCCUGCUUGAGUGGGGGGCUGGAUGAGACAGCGUCCAGAGAUCCCUUCCCACCUCAACCAUUCCAUGAUUCUACUUACAGAAACUGCUUCACUAAAACUGACAGGUUUUCUUGAUGUGUUUCCUGAGGGCACAACCGCCCACCUUUCUGGUUCUGCCCAGUUUUGUCUUGACACAUUACAUAAUACUCAACAACUAUUUUAAGUUGGGGAAAAAAUCACUUUCUUCAUAGAUUAGUCCGUUUAGUUAACUAGUAUCCAAGUAAAUUAUACACAACUCAGAGGAAUAACUGAACUUAUCCCAAAACAAAUGUAUAUAUUGCUUUGGAUGAAACAGUGGUGUAAGAAGGGCUGGGCUGCUUAUUUAAACUCUUUCUGUAUUUUGUCUUCCUCUGCCUUGUCUUCACACUGUAAAAUAAAUAAAUAAAUAAAUAA